rnacentral:rRNA from 1 species
UACGUAGGGUGCAAGCGUUAAUCGGAAUUACUGGGCGUAAAGCGUGCGCAGGCGGUUUUGUAAGACAGAGGUGAAAUCCCCCGGGCUCAACCUGGGAACUGCCUUUGUGACUGCAAGGCUUGAGUGCGGCAGAGGGGGAUGGAAUUCCGCGUGUAGCAGUGAAAUGCGUAGAUAUGCGGAGGAACACCGAUGGCGAAGGCAAUCCCCCUGGGCCUGCACUGACGCUCAUGCACGAAAGCGUGGGGAGCAAACAGG